AGAGCGCAGAGUGAAUGCCUUGGCAUUGAGAGCCGAAGAAGGACGUGGUUAACUGCGAUAAGCAGCGGGGAGUUGUAAGCAAGCAUUGAUCCGCUGAUUUCCGAAUGGAGCAAUCCGCAUGAAGUAGUUCAUGCAUCCAUAUGUAAAUCAAUAGCAUAUGGAGGGGAACCGCCUGAACUGAAACAUCUAAGUAGGGCGAGGAAGAGAAAUCAACCGAGAUUCCGUAAGUAGUGGCGAGCGAACGCGGAAGAGGCCAAACCGAGAGAAGAAAUUCUUUCGGGGUUCGGACUGCAUUUAGCAUUCCUGAUCUUUAGUCGAACAGUCUGGGAAGGCUGACGAGAGAGUGUGAGAGUCACGUAGACGAAAAGGAGAAGGAGCGAGCAGGAUCCAGAGUACCGCGGGGCACGUGAAAUCCCGUGGGAAGAUGGGGGGACCACCCUCCAAGCCUAAAUACUACUCAAUGACCGAUAGCGUAUAGUACUGUGAAGGAACGGUGAAAAGAACCCCGGGAGGGGAGUGAAAAGAACCUGAAACUCUGUGCUUACAAGCACAUAGAGCACGUCAAUGUGUGAUAUGGUACCUUUUGUAGAAUGGUCCGGCGAGUUAUGGUAUGCAGCAUGGUUAAGGACUUGAGGUCUGAAGCCGAAGCGAGAGCGAGUCUGACAAGGGCGAUAAGUUGUAUGCCAUAGACCCGAAACCGGGUGACCUAGCCAUGUCCAGGCUGAAGUGGAGGUAAAACUCUAUGGAGGGCCGAACCGACCUCCGUUGAAAAGGCGGCGGAUGAGAUGUGGCUAGCGGAGAAAUUCCAAUCGAACCCGGAUAUAGCUGGUUCUCCCCGAAAUAGCUUUAGGGCUAGCGUUGUAUUAGAUUACCGGAGGUAAAGCACUGAAUGGGCUAGGGGCUGAGAAGUUACUGAACCCUAUCAAACUAAGAAUGCCGGAUAAUUGAUGUACAGCAGUCAGACUAUGUGAGAUAAGUCUCAUAGUCAAAAGGGAAACAGCCCAGACCCACAGCUAAGGUCCCAAAAUGGAUUUAAGUGGAAAAGGAUGUGGAAUUGCACAGACAACCAGGAUGUUGGCUUAGAAGCAGCCACUCAUUAAAAGAGUGCGUAAUAGCUCACUGGUCGAGUGACUCUGCGCCGAAAAUUCAACGGGGCUAAAAUUCAUACCGAAGCUUGGGCUUGACAGCAAUGUCAGGGGUAGGGGAGCGUCGUAUACGAGGUGAAGUCAUAGCGGAAGCGGCGGUGGAUUGUAUACGAGUGAGAAUGCCGGAAUGAGUAGCGAGAAUUAUGUGAGAAUCAUAAUGGCCGAAAGUCUAAGGUUUCCUGAGGAAGGUUCGUCCUCUCAGGGUUAGCCGGGAGCUAAGGUGAGGCGGAAACGCGUAGCCGAUGCACAUACGGUAGAAAUUCCGUAGCCUCCGAAGAUUUAAGCACAGGGACACUUUUGAAGGGCUGAGCCGGGCGUUGGUUGCCCCGGUCGAAAGGGACACGAUUGAGUGGAAGUCAGUUUGGAAAGAGGCGAGAAAAGCUGUGUGUAUAUGGAAGGAGCCCGUACCGCAAACCGACACAGGUAGACAGGAAGAAGAUUCUAAGGCCAGCGGGAGAAGGGUUGUUAAGGAACUCGGCAAGUUGACCCCGUAACUUCGGGAGAAGGGGUGCUUACGAAGGUAAGCCGCAGAGAAUAGGCCCAAGCGACUGUUUAGCAAAAACACAGCUCUAUGCUAAAUCGAAAGAUGACGUAUAUGGGGUGACACCUGCCCGGUGCUGGAAGGUUAAGAGGAGAUGUGAGAGCAUUGAAUUGAAGCCCCAGUAAACGGCGGCCGUAACUAUAACGGUCCUAAGGUAGCGAAAUUCCUUGUCAGGUAAGUUCUGACCCGCACGAAUGGUGUAACGAUUUGGGCACUGUCUCAACAACCCACCCGGCGAAAUUGUAGUACCGGUGAAGAUGCCGGUUACCCGCGACUAGACGGAAAGACCCCAUGGAGCUUCACUGCAGCUUAAUAUUGGAUUUCGGUAUUUCAUGUACAGGAUAGGUGGGAGACUGGGAAAUACAGGCAUCAGCUUGUAUGGAGUCAUUGUUGGGAUACCACUCUUGAGGUGCUGGAAUUCUAACCUGUGGCCUUGAAUCAGGUCAGGGGACAUUGUUAGGCGGGCAGUUUGACUGGGGCGGUCGCCUCCUAAAAGGUAACGG
rnacentral:rRNA from 1 species